GGCCUCUCGAAUCUCCCAGGAAUCCUAAUGUCACCCGAGGAUGCUGGGAGGACCGCUGAGCCAACCUCUCCGUUGGGCUAAAGGUCUGAAUUUUCAAACCCUGGGGUCACAGGGCCGGGAUCAUCGACUUUGAUACCUCCUGGAAACCUGCGGCAGCGCCCUUGGAGAAGCCUGGUUUGUGGUACCUGAAGGGCGCUAGCGUGACAAGGCCCCUAAACUGGGGUUACAGAUGUGGGAGUGACUAACCAGGCUGGCUCUUGCUCUUCUGGCUUUCCCUGAAGCUCGGAACCAGGAACGAGGUUCCAAGUAGCUGAAUUCAACGUUUUCUGUUGUGAGGACUGGCAGUGCACAAGAAGGUCCCUGGCCCCACCCGUAUGCAGCAUAAGGAAAUGUUGAAAAGACUGCCCGGGUCAAUAAACCUGGACGUGGCAAAUUUCAAAGAAAGUAAUUGAAACACAGACUGCACAAACCAUGAUAAUGGCCAGCAAGGAUGGAAGGAGCGUAUGAGAUGUGCGGGGCAGUGUGCUACGUCUCAGCCAACUCUAGGAGACCACCAAAUAGUGAAGAAGAAAGGAGCCUGGAGCCACAGUAGGAGAACUUUAAUGGCCACUAAGAACAUACAAUCAUC
rnacentral:lncRNA from 1 species